rnacentral:rRNA from 1 species
GAUGAACGCUGGCGGCGUGCCUAAUACAUGCAAGUCGAGCGAACGGACGGGAAGCUUGCUUCUCUGAUGUUAGCGGCGGACGGGUGAGUAACACGUGGAUAACCUACCUAUAAGACUGGGAUAACUUCGGGAAACCGGAGCUAAUACCGGAUAAUAUUUUGAACCGCAUGGUUCAAAAGUGAAAGACGGUCUUGCUGUCACUUAUAGAUGGAUCCGCGCUGCAUUAGCUAGUUGGUAAGGUAACGGCUUACCAAGGCAACGAUGCAUAGCCGACCUGAGAGGGGGAUCGGCCACCCUGGAACUGAGACACGGUCCAGACUCCUACGGGAGGCAGCAUUAGGGAAUCUUCCGCAAUGGGCGAAAGCCUGACGGAGCAACGCCGCGUGAGUGAUGAAGGUCGUCGGAUCGUAAAACUCUGUUACUAGGGAAGAACAUAUGUGUAAGUAACUGUGCACAUCUUGACGGUACCUAAUCAGAAAGCCACGGCUAACUACGUG